UACGUAGGGGGCAAGCGUUAUCCGGAUUUACUGGGUGUAAAGGGAGCGUAGACGGAAUAGCAAGUUUGGAAUGAAAACCCUGGGCUUAACCCAGGACUUGCUUUGAAAACUGUUAACCUAGAGUACUGGAGGGGUAUGGGGAAUUCCUAGUGUAGUAGUGAAAUGCGUAGAUAUUAGGAGGAACACCGGAGGCGAAGGCGCCAUACUGGACAGAUACUGACGUUGAGGCUCGAAAGCGUGGGGAG
rnacentral:rRNA from 1 species